CCUACGGGAGGCAGCAGUGGGGGAUAUUGCACAAUGGGGGGAACCCUGAUGCAGCGACGCCGCGUGGGUGAAGAAGCGCCUCGGCGCGUAAAGCCCUGUCAGCAGGGAAGAAAAUGACGGUACCUGAAGAAGAAGCCCCGGCUAACUACGUGCCAGCAGCCGCGGUAAUACGUAGGGGGCGAGCGUUGUCCGGAAUUACUGGGUGUAAAGGGAGCGUAGGCGGGGAUGCAAGUUGGAUGUUUAAACUAUCGGCUCAACCGGUAAUUGCAACCAAAACUGCAACUCUUGAGUGAAGUAGAGGCAGGCGGAAUUCCGAGUGUAGCGGUGAAAUGCGUAGAUAUUAGGAGGAACACCAGUGGCGAAGGCGGCCUGCUGGGCUUUAACUGACGCUGAGGCUCGAAAGCGUGGGGAGCAAACAGGAUUAGAUACCCCAGUAGUC
rnacentral:rRNA from 1 species